AUCCUUUUAUAGUUCAUCAGCAUGAUGACUGGGUUUUCACGCGCAUGUGUGAGCUGUGCUCCCUCAAACCUUGUUAUGAUGCUGGCAUAUUACCCGUCUGACG
ensembl:snoRNA